rnacentral:rRNA from 1 species
UACAGAGGUCUCAAGCGUUGUUCGGAUUCAUUGGGCGUAAGGGGUGCGUAGGCGGCGCGGUAAGUCGGGUGUGAAAUCUCGGAGCUUAACUCCGAAACUGCAUUCGAUACUGGCGUGCUUGAGGACUGGAGAGGAGACUGGAAUUCAUGGUGUAGCAGUGAAAUGCGUAGAGAUCAUGAGGAAGACCAGUGGCGAAGGCGGGUCUCUGGACAGUUCCUGACACUGAGACACGAAGGCCAGGGGAGCAAACGGG